rnacentral:rRNA from 1 species
AGCGAACGCUGGCGGCAGGCUUAACACAUGCAAGUCGAGCGGGCGUAGCAAUACGUCAGCGGCAGACGGGUGAGUAACGCGUGGGAACAUACCUCUUGGUUCGGAACAACACAGGGAAACUUGUGCUAAUACCGGAUAAGCCCUUACGGGGAAAGAUUUAUCGCCGAGAGAUUGGCCCGCGUCUGAUUAGCUAGUUGGUGAGGUAACGGCUCACCAAGGCGACGAUCAGAGCUGGUCUGAGAGGAUGAUCAGCCACAUUGGGACUGAGACACGGCCCAAACUCCUACGGGAGGCAGCAGUGGGGAAUAUUGGACAAUGGGCGCAAGCCUGAUCCAGCCAUGCCGCGUGAGUGAUGAAGGCCCUAGGGUUGUAAAGCUCUUUUGUGCGGGAAGAUAAUGACGGUACCGCAAAGAAUAAGCCCCGCUAACUUCGUGCCAGCCGCCGCCGUAAU